rnacentral:rRNA from 1 species
GACGAACGCUGGCGGCGUGCUUAACACAUGCAAGUCGAACGGCAAGGCCCUGCUUUUUUGGUGUUCUCGAGUGCCGAACGCGUGCGUAACACGUGAGUAACCUGCCCUUCACUUUCGUAUAACUUCAGGUAACUGGGGCUACUACCGUAUAGGAUCCCCUGCUCCAUUGUGGGCGUUGGAUCUUUUCGGCUGGUGGGGAUGGACUCGCGGCUUAAGAACUUGCUGGUUGGGUAGUUGCUUACCCAGGCUUUGAAGGGUAGCCGGCAUGAGAGGGUGAACGGGCACAAGACGACUGAGAGACGGACCAGACGGCAACGGGAGGCAACAGGGGGGAAUAUUGCACAGUGGGCGGAAGCCUGAGGAAGAAACGCCGCGUGCGGGAUGACGGCCUGCGGGGUGUAAAAAGCAGUAGCCUGUGACGAAGCGGGAGUGACGGUAAUGGGUGAAGAAGCACCGGCUAACUACGUG